UACGUAGGUGGCAAGCGUUGUCCGGAAUUAUUGGGCGUAAAGCGCGCGCAGGCGGUUCUCCAAGUCAGUGGUGAAAGCCCGGAGCUCAACUCCGGAACUGCCAUUGAAACUGUUGAACUUGAGGACGAGAGAGGUGAGUGGAAUUCCCAGUGUAGAGGUGAAAUUCGUAGAUAUUCGCAAGAACACCAGUGGCGAAGGCGGCUCACUGGCCCGGUACUGACGCUGAGGUGCGAAAGCGUGGGGAGCAAACAGG
rnacentral:rRNA from 1 species